UUUGCUGUGCCAGAAGCUUUUCAGUUUGAUGUAAUUUCAUUUACCUAUUUUUUCUUCCGUUGCUUAUACUUUUGGAUCAUAUCCAAAAAGUAAUUGUAUAGACGAAUAUCAUAGAGUUAUACCAUAUGUUUUCUUCUAGUAGAUUUAUGGUGUCAGGUCUUACAUGUAAGUGUUUAAUCCAGUUUUAGUUGAUUUUUGUAUAUGUUGUAAUAAAAGGGUCUAAUUUCAUUCUUCUGCAUGCGGACAUCCAGUUUUCCCAGCACUGUUUAUUGAAUGUAUAAGAGUUCUUUUCUCUCCACAUACUUGCCAACAUCUGUUAUUUUUGGUCUUUGUAAUAACAGCCAUUCUACAAUGGCCAUAUUCCCAUACUGUGGGUUGUUUCUUCACUCUGUUGAGUGUUUCCCUUGCCUCACAGAAACUCUUUAGUUUAAUCUAGUCUCAUUUAUCUAUUUUUGGGUUUUGUUUCCUGUGCUUUUGGGGUCUUAGCAAUAAAAUCUUUUCCCAGAGCAUUAUCCUGGAGACUCAUCCCGAGGUUUUCUUCCAGCAUUUUUAUAAUUUCUAUAGCUCCUCCAAGAUCACACGUCUGAACUGAGAUUGUAAUGGUGAUCUAUCUGAAAGCCCAUUUAUCUACCUAUCUGAAAGCCCAUCAGCUGUCACUUACACCACAAUACACAAAUCCAUCAAAUGCAUUGUCCACUCAAUUAUGGAGCUGUCUUGGGAAAUACUUGUCUGUCAGCUAAGAAGAAGGAUAACCUUGUUAAAUCUUCCUAGCUUUUCUUGUCAGAUAAAUGCCUGCUUUAUUUGCUUGCCCCUGCUCCCAGGUCUCUCUUGCUUCAUAUCAAAGCAGGAAAGAAAGGAAAAACUGCACAAUAAUAUGAUGGCAUCACUUUGUGCCAAAGUCCAGAAAUAGUCUUAUUCUAAUCCAGAGAAUAUUGCACAACCAUUUUGCUUAUGUGUAAUAGACUUUUCCUGAUACUUUCUCUGUUGGCUUUAGAAAACACCGCCAUCUAAUAUAAACAGUGAAUAACAAAUUCCAUGUAAACUUGGACAAAUCACAGGGCCUUAUCAUUAUUUUCCUUAUCUAUAAAGUAAGAUAAUAACAGCUGUACUACUUACCACACGGGGUUAUCAUACAGAGGGUCAAUGAGAUACUGUAUAUGGAAACAUUUCUAAACUGUAAAUCUCAAUUUGAAGUCAAAAGAUUACAAGUGUUAUCUGUAAAAAUGUUGCUCUCAUGAACAAGCGUACACAGGAAUUACGAUCAUUUUUCUGUUCUCUGGCAUAAAUAAUGAGUUAAAGAAUUAAGGAGACCAGAUUUCAAAACCUCUCUGCUACUUAUAAACUUUGUGGCAGGUGUCUAAGUUUCAGUUGCCUUAAAUGUAAAAGGUGGUUAAUAACACUUUUCCUUCUGGGAUGAUGAAAUAAGUAAAUUUAAAAAUAUUUUUGCAAAUGCCUAACCCAGCACUAGAAGUUUCUGGAAAUGACAAUGGGUGGUGAAGACUGUGCGUCCUCACUUCAUUCUCCCUCCAGGCAUGGCUCCUUGAAGCCUGGGAGGAUGGACUAUUAUAUUCUUUUUCUUUUUCUUUCUUUCUUUUUUUUUUUUUUUCCUUUGAGACAGAGUCUCGUUCUGUUGCCCAGGCUGGAGUGCAGUGGCACAAUCUUGGCUCACUGCAGCCUCUGCCGCCCGGGUUCAAGUGAUUCUCCUGCCUCAGUCUCCCAAGUAGCUGGGACUACAGACUACAGGCGUGUGCCACCGCGCCUGGCUAAUAUUUUGUUGUUGUUGUUGUUGUUGUUGUUGUUUUUUGUUUUUUUUUUGGUAUUUUUAGUAGCGAUGGGGUUUCGCCAUGUUGGCCAGGCUGGUCUUGAACUCCUGACCUCAGGUGAUCUGCCCACUUCGGCCUCCCAAAGUACUGGGAUUACAGGCGUGAGCCAUCACACCUGGCCUAUUUUUUCAUUUGAUUCUUGCAGUAGCCCUGUGAGAUCAGCUAGGCAGAUGUUAUUAUGCUCAUUUUAUAUGCAACAAAACUAAGAAUAUUGGCUCUGAUUGUGCCAUGUACUAUAUAACACUAAGGAAUAUUGCCUGAGAUGUCCAAAAAUGACACCAUUGGAUGUUAAUUUAUCUUUGGAAAGAAUAUAUUUGGCAGUAUCUAGUAAAUCUGAGCACACACAUACCUUAUGAUCCAUAAGUUCCAUUCUUAAGUUUAUUUCAAACAGGAGUGAAUAUAUUUGUUCACCAAAGACAUGUAAUAGAAUGUUCAUAACAGCACUGUUUGUAGUAGUUCCAAACUGGAAAUUACUCAUAUGUCCAUCAACGGUAGAAUGGAUAAAUAAAUUGUGGUGUGAUCACGCAAUCAACUUCUGUAUAGCACCAAUAAACUAUUGCUAAACAAUGAUGAAACUCCUAAACAUAAUAUUAAAUGAAAAAGCAGCCAGACACAAAUGAAUACAUAUUGUGAUUGCAUUUAUAUAAAGUUUUAUAUAAACAGGCAAAACUAAUCUUUGGUGAUAGAAGUCAGGAUGGUAGUUACCCUUGGGUUGGGGGAGUGGCGUUACUGGAAAGGAGCAUGAGGAAGGGUUCUGGGGUUCUGGUAAUGAUCUGUUUAUUGACCUGGGUGCUAGUGAUAUGGAUGCGAUUACAUCAUGAAAAUUCAUCAAGCUUACGAUUUGUGUACUUUCCCGUAAUGUAUAGUAUACUUCAGUAAAAAGUUAAUUUGCCUUAGGCAAAACAGAAACCCAUUAUCUUAGGCAAGGUUUUUCAGUGGCUUCCCAUGGUACUCAGAAUAAAAUCCAAAGUCCUUACCAUGGCCUGCAUGGCAAUAUAUACAUGAUCUAGCCCCUGGCUACCUCCUCCACAUGUAGCCGGUGCGCCUAUAAAUGUUAGGGUUGAAUGAAUGAUUGAAGAUCCCUGGGUGAAUGGUCCACUAGGCUAUAGCUGGGAUUCCUCCCACAAAGGGAGACACCUGAGAAGUUGUAAGUCAUCCUGUUAAAAGGAAAGCUUUGUUAGUAUAACCUCUCUUGUCCACCCCACCUCAGUUUGGUGAGGAGAAAGCUCAGAGCUUUCCCCAGUGCUUCCAUGAACUUUGGCCAGUAAAGACUUAAAAUAUCAUAUCAUAAGAUGAGAGAAACCAGUUGGAACUUAACUUCUAUCCCGUAUCCUUCGAUUAUUCAAAGAAAAACAAAAUACGGUCAACAGGCAGUGGAACUCCUCACUCCAAUGUGAUAUUCCUGAGAGAAUAUUGACUUAUUGUCACUUCGUCUCUGGGACAAGUAUUGAACAUAGGGGAAGCCUUAUAUAAAAUUGUUCAAUAAACAAAAGAUGUCUUUAACAUGUGUUUGAGAUCUUUCUUCUCAUGAUUCCAUGUUAGGUACAACAACUAUGACCGGGCUGUCAUCAAUACCGUUCCUUAUGAUGUCGUCCAUCGCUGGUAUACAGCACACCGGACUCUAACGAUAGAGUUGAGGAGACCUGAGAAUGAGUUUUGGGUUAAACUAAAGCCUGGCAGGGUCCUAUUUAUAGACAACUGGCGUGUCCUACAUGGCAGGGAAUGCUUCACUGGCUACCGCCAACUCUGUGGCUGCUAUUUAACAAGGGAUGACGUAUUAAACACUGCUCGCCUCUUGGGGCUUCAGGCUUAAAAUUGACAGCAUUGGGAUUAUGAAUACACCUGGCACCCCGGCUACCAGAAUUUCAUAUGCGCAGAAUAAUAUUUAAUAUUGUGUCAAACUCUACUUCAGAUUGUCUCCUUAUCCCAUCCCACAAAACAGAAGCUGUCCCUUUCUCUAGCAGGGGAGACUUGUUAGAGAGGGGGGACUCUGAGCUAUCUAAUGUCAGACUUCUAGUGGGGCAGCUCUCUUCCUCAUGUUAUAACAUGGAUCCACUUGUUUUAUUUAAACCUUUUAAUAUAAUUUUGGUCAAUCUCCUUCAGAAAUAUAAUCUCCAUAUUGAUAGGAAAGCAAUAAUUGCCAUGAGGUAGUGAUUUUUUUUUCCCCCAAGUAGAUCAGUUAGAAAGAAAUGCAUUCUAGAAAUAACAAAAAUCCUGAUAAAGCAACAAUUUGCAAAAUUUUUGGUCUUAGGACACCUUAACACUCUUAAAAGUUAUUGAAGGCCCCAAGGAGUUCUUGGGUGUGGGUUCUAUCUAUUGAUACUAAUUGUUUUAGGUAUUAAGACUGGGAAAUAUUUAAAACUCAAGAACGCAGAAGCACACAUCCCUCAGCUAUCAGAGAGAUGACAUAACCAUAUGUCAUGUAGCCUCUGGAAAAGUCCUCUGUCUCCUCACGAGAUAAUGAGAGGGGGAGAAAAAGCUACUAUUGUCUUUGUAACUUCCACUUAGCCUACUACAGGGCUAUGCACAUCUGGGUUUCCAAAAGUCUGCUUAAUUUCAAAAGAAAAAUGCUUAAUUGAAUGUAACUCAUCUUGGUGUUAUUAUACAAAAUAAUUUUUAAUCUGCAGACCCACUAAAAAGGCCUCAGGGACUCCUCCAGGGGUCUUCAGACCAUAUUUUGAGAACCCAUGGGCUAGCGACUACCUUGAGACAGUCCUUUACAUAGGCCUGGGGAUUAAAGGGUUUAGCUGAAACCCUAGAUUUUUCUCUAUAGCCUAAUAGAACUCCAAACAUUAUAAGAAUUGCUGGUAGCAUAAGCUCAGGGAUAAGGUGGGAAUUGAGUUCAAAUAUAGUGUUUUAUCUUCGAUACAAAUCAUCUCUAUAGGAGUUAAAUUAGGAAGUCACAACAGCUCCUGUUGAACAAACUCAUCAGUGUGGUAAUCCUAUGAGGGAUAAUUGCAGAAAGGUUUUAGAGACUUGUGAGGUUCCAUAUGAUAAUUCUUUACACACACACACACACACCACCACCACCACCACCAAGAGAAGUACACAGGGCUAUCCUGUAAUAUUAUUCAGGGAAAUCAGCAUGAUAGAUGCCGUGCCUCCAGAGAGUUCUCUGGAGAUUACUACCCAAAUGUGUAUUUUGGCAAUUUGGUGGUAUUUAGGAUGUAAUAUGUUUUCCUCCAUUUCUGCUAAUUUUUUUCUUUCUCUCUCUGUCUCUCUCAUAAAAUACUAUACAUGUUAAUUACCAAGAUUUGAAUGAGUCAAAUUUAGUAGCUUGCUGCUUUUAUUUUUUAAAUAGCUUCUUUUAUGUAUGGGGGGAGGGCAGGUUAUGAAGCUUCUUUUCCCUCAGCUUUCAUUGAAAGUGAAGCUGUACAAUAACCACAUUGACCACUGUAGAAUGAUGAAAGAGAAUAUAGGCUAGGAUGCACACAAGAGGGGGGAAAAGGCAUUAUUAGUGAAGACAGGAGUUACAAAGCAAAGCAAAGUCAGUAUUCAGAUAGAGAAUAGAGCCUAAUCUGAUGUUUGCAGGGAGUUCCUAGAUCACAUUUGGCAAUUUACACAUUAUUUUAUUGAUACAUCCAGUGCUCCAAAAUGUGUUCCCAAAAUAUUUUGGCAUUUUAUUUGUACUAUAUAGGAAUCUUUAGGGGAGUCCAUGAAAUUUGUUUUCCUCAUAGGUCAAAGGACUGAUAAUUAACUUUGGUUCUUAAGGAGUAUGCCCUUUAGCAAGAAGAACAGCAAUAACAUUUUACCCUGAAGUUUUUCCUCUAUACCUACUAUUAUGCACUCCUAAAAUAUGUCAUCAUUAGUCUUCAUGAGGAUGUUUACCAUUUUUGAAGUUUUGCGUAAAUUAGCCUUGAAGAUUACACUAUAACUGAGGUCAGCAUUGGUUUACGGCCAGCAAAGGACAUGAUCAUGGCCCUGGAGAGAUGAGGACACAAAACAAAUCAAUUUCCCCACUUACUGAAGGACUCCCCUUACCUUCUGUCUCUCCUGACACCUUGACUCGUUAAUUAUUUUACCCUCCUUUUGGAAAUUUGCAACCAAUCCUUCUCAACAAUGUACUCCCUUUGGUACACUGAAGAAAAAGAGAAGGGAAUUAUUUGAGUCCUGAUCCUGAUGCAUUGAAAACUUCCUAUGUGAGAUGUUUCUUUUUUUUACAGCUCUUCCAGGUGUCCCUGAGUAUAUAAGCAUGGGUCUAUGUCUACCAAGCUCACUGUAGAGUCACUUUUACCUUUUGCUAUGGUGGAAUGGGAUCUGUAGGGUCAGGAACACAGCACCUAACACAGUGCCUUAUGGACAGUAGUAUUAUAAUACAGAUGUAUUGAAAGAAUAAAUGAAUGAGUCCUUUUCAAACAAAUUCACCAGAAGUUA